UCCCUGGUAGUCCAGUGGUUAGGACACCAUGCUUCCAAUGCAGGGGGCACAGAGUCGAUCCCUGGUCAGGGAA
rfam:TPA: Bos taurus chromosome 14, whole genome shotgun sequence.